UACAGAGGUCCCAAGCGUUGUUCGGAUUUACUGGGCGUAAAGGGUGCGUAGGUGGUCGGGUAAGUCUGAGGUGAAAUCUCCGAGCUCAACUCGGAAACUGCCUUGGAUACUAUUCGGCUAGAGGGUUGGAGGGGGGACUGGAAUUCUCGGUGUAGCAGUGAAAUGCGUAGAUAUCGAGAGGAACACCAGUGGCGAAGGCGAGUCCCUGGACAACUCCUGACGCUGAGGCACGAAAGCUAGGGGAGCAAACAGG
rnacentral:rRNA from 1 species